rnacentral:rRNA from 1 species
UACGGAGGGAGCUAGCGUUGUUCGGAAUUACUGGGCGUAAAGCGCACGUAGGCGGCUUUGUAAGUUAGAGGUGAAAGCCCGGAGCUCAACUCCGGAAUUGCCUUUAAGACUGCAUCGCUUGAAUCCAGGAGAGGUGAGUGGAAUUCCGAGUGUAGAGGUGAAAUGCGUAGAGAUGUGGAGGAACACCGAUGGCGAAGGCAGCCUCCUGGGCCAACACUGACGCUCAUGCACGAAAGCGUGGGGAGCAAACAGG